UACGUAGGGCGCAAGCGUUGUCCGGAAUUAUUGGGCGUAAAGGGCGCGUAGGCGGUGCGGUAAGUCCGCAGUGAAAUCUCUGGGCUCAACUCAGAGUCUGCUGUGGAAACUGCCGUGCUUGAGUGUGGGAGAGGUGAGUGGAACUGCGAGUGUAGAGGUGAAAUUCGUAGAUAUUCGCAAGAACACCAGUGGCGAAGGCGGCUCACUGGCCCGAUACUGACGCUGAGGCACGAAAGCGUGGGGAGCAAAGCAGG
rnacentral:rRNA from 1 species